rnacentral:lncRNA from 1 species
AAGCUAAUAAGGUUCACGAAGAAAUAAUAAAGACUUUUUCCAGGUACCAUGUGACUUUGUCCACUUAUGCUCACACCCAAUAACAAAGAAGAAGAAAAGGAGAAAAGGAUCAGAAAGAAGAAGAUGAGGCAGUGGCAGCAGAAGAGGAGGUAGCUGGAAAAGCUUCCAUCUUUUGUUGCCUUAUAUACACCAAUCCGACCUUGCUCAACUCUGCCUGAGCUGCAUGGUCACCUUUAAGCUUUCUCAAACCACAGAUGAUUGGAGGCCACCCCAGAAUUACUGAGUCUGAAUCUGCUGCAGUUGUGCCCAGGUGUGUGUGCAGUGUUUAAGUUCUCCAUGGACCAUUCUAAUGCACAACCAGAUUUGAGCAAGACUGGAUGGGGCAGUUUACCUGAGAAAAGAUCUUAUUUCAUUGUCAUGACAACCACAGAAAGUACAUACUUUGAUCUUCAUCUUAGAAACAAUGAAUCCAAGUCACUGAGAAGUCAAAAACUUGCUCAGGAUAACACAGAAGAUGACCAUCUUUUACUGCCCAACGACAUCUCUCUACCAAUGUGAACAGAGAAUAGCAGCACAGUGAUCACCUGCAGAUAGACCUGGCUUUAUCUGUACAUAACACCAAAAGCAAGAACCUGGAUUCUAGAAGGAAAUAAAGAUUUUCAGUCCCUGCAA